CACCGCGGUUAUACGAGAGGCCCUAGUUGAUAUGCUCGGCGUAAAGAGUGGUUAUGGGAGCACAACACUAAAGCCAAAGACCCCUCCAGCAGUUAUACGCACUCAGAGAUUCGAAGCACCAGCACGAAAGUCGCUUUACCCCACCCACCAGAACCCACGAUAGCCGGGAAA
rnacentral:rRNA from 1 species